rnacentral:rRNA from 1 species
AACGAACGCUGGCGGCGUGCUUAACACAUGCAAGUCGAGCGGUAAGGCCCUUUCGGGGGUACACGAGCGGCGAACGGGUGAGUAACACGUGGGUGACCUGCCCUCAGCUCUGGGAUAAGCCUGGGAAACCGGGUCUAAUACUGGAUAUGACUCCAUGACGCAUGUUGUGGGGUGGAAAGCCUUGUGCGGCUGAGGAUGGGCCCGCGGCCUAUCAGCUUGUUGGUGGGGUGAGGCCUACCAAGGCGACGACGGGUAGCCGGCCUGAGAGGGCGACCGGCCGCACUGGGACUGAGACACGGGCCCAGACUCCUACGGGAGGCAGCAGUGGGGAAUCUUGCGCAAUGGGCGAAAGCCUGACGCAGCGACGCCGCGUGAGGGAUGACGGCCU